AGAGUUUGAUCCUGGCUCAGGACGAACGCUGGCGGCGUGCUUAACACAUGCAAGUCGAACGGUGAAGUCCCUUCGGGGGCGGAUCAGUGGCGAACGGGUGAGUAACACGUGGGCAAUCUGCCCCUCACUGUGGGAUAACUCCGGGAAACCGGGGCUAAUACCGCAUAUGAAGCCUGGCGGCAUCGCCGGGUUUGGAAAGUUUUUCGGUGAGGGAUGAGCCCGCGGCCUAUCAGCUUGUUGGUGAGGUAAUGGCUCACCAAGGCGACGACGGGUAGCCGGCCUGAGAGGGCGACCGGCCACACUGGGACUGAGACACGGCCCAGACUCCUACGGGAGGCAGCAGUGGGGAAUAUUGGGCAAUGGGCGAAAGCCUGACCCAGCGACGCCGCGUGCGAGGUGAAGGCCUUCGGGUUGUAAACC
rnacentral:rRNA from 1 species